rfam:Corynebacterium pollutisoli strain VDS genome assembly, contig: Ga0138996_107
GCAUCCCAAACGUGAACAUCCAUGUGGACAGGGGCGGGGAAACCACCGCGGGCCCACCAGGUCCGCACCGGUAGGCAGCACCAGCUGCUUUCCUCGGGGUGAAGCCUCACACAGAGGCCGGGCACCAGCACCACAGUGAUCCUCCGCCCGAACCCGACAGCUCACCUCGCAGGCGACAACAUGAGAGGAACA